rnacentral:rRNA from 1 species
GAGUUUGAUCGUGGCUCAGGACGAACGUUGGCGGCGUGCUUAAUACAUGCAAGUCAACUGAAGCUCAGGUAGUAAUACUUGAGUGGAGGUGGCGCACGGGUGAGUAACACGUAGGUAAUCUGCCUUCAGGUCUGACAUAACCCCGAGAAAUCGGAGCUAAUAUCAGAUGAUGCAGCGGCUUGACAUCAAGACAGUUGUUAAAGCUUCGGCGCCUGAAGAUGAGCCUGCGUCUGAUUAGCUAGUUGGCGGAGUAAUAGCCCACCAAGGCUACGAUCAGUAGCUGGUCUGAGAGGAUGAUCAGCCACACUGGAACUGAGACACGGUCCAGACACCUACGGGAGGCAGCAGUAAGGAAUAUUGCUCAAUGGGAGAAAUCCUGAAGCAGCAACGCCGCGUGA